UGGGGAAUAUUGCACAAUGGGCGCAAGCCUGAUGCAGCCAUGCCGCGUGUAUGAAGAAGGCCUUCGGGUUGUAAAGUACUUUCAGCGGGGAGGAAGGCGAUAAGGUUAAUAACCUUGUCGAUUGACGUUACCCGCAGAAGAAGCACCGGCUAACUCCGUGCCAGCAGCCGCGGUAAUACGGAGGGUGCAAGCGUUAAUCGGAAUUUCUGGGCGUAAAGCGCACGCAGGCGGUCUGUCAAGUCGGAUGUGAAAUCCCCGGGCUCAACCCGGGAACUGCAUUCGAAACUGGCAGGCUAGAGUCUUGUAGAGGGGGGUAGAAUUCCAGGUGUAGCGGUGAAAUGCGUAGAGAUCUGGAGGAAUACCGGUGGCGAAGGCGGCCCCCUGGACAAAGACUGACGCUCAGGUGCGAAAGCGUGGGGAGCAAACA
rnacentral:rRNA from 1 species